GAUGAACGCUGGCGGCGUGCCUAAUACAUGCGAGUCGAGCGAACAGACGAGGAGCUUGCUCCUCUGACGUUAGCGGCGGACGGGUGAGUAACACGUGGAUAACCUACCUAUAAGACUGGGAUAACUUCGGGAAACCGGAGCUAAUACCGGAUAAUAUAUUGAACCGCAUGGUUCAAUAGUGAAAGACGGUUUUGCUGUCACUUAUAGAUGGAUCCGCGCCGCAUUAGCUAGUUGGUAAGGUAACGGCUUACCAAGGCAACGAUGCGUAGCCGACCUGAGAGGGUGAUCGGCCACACUGGAACUGAAACACGGUCCAGACUCCUACGGGAGGCAGCAGUAGGGAAUCUUCCGCAAUGGGCGAAAGCCUGACGGAGCAACGCCGCGUGAGUGAUGAAGGUCUUCGGAUCGUAAAGCUCUGUUAUUAGGGAAGAACAAAUGUGUAAGUAACUAUGCACGUCUUGACGGUACCUAAUCAGAAAGCCACGGCUAACUACGUG
rnacentral:rRNA from 1 species